AUUGAACGCUGGCGGCAUGCCUUACACAUGCAAGUCGAACGGUAACGCGGGGCAACCUGGCGACGAGUGGCGAACGGGUGAGUAAUGCAUCGGAACGUGCCUGGUAAUGGGGGAUAACUGCUCGAAAGAGCAGCUAAUACCGCAUACGACCUGAGGGUGAAAGGGGGGGAUCGCAAGACCUCCCGUUAUCAGAGCGGCCGAUGUCGGAUUAGCUAGUUGGUAGGGUAAAGGCUUACCAAGCCAACGAUCUGUAGCUGGUCUGAGAGGACGACCAGCCACACUGGAACUGAGACACGGUCCAGACUCCUACGGGAGGCAGCAGUGGGGAAUUUUGGACAAUGGGCGAAAGCCUGAUCCAGCCAUUCCGCGUGCAGGAUGAAGGCCCUCGGGUUGUAAACUGCUUUUGUACAGAACGAAAAGGUCUCUAUUAAUACUAGGGGCUCAUGACGGUACUGUAAGAAUAAGCACCGGCUAACUACGUG
rnacentral:rRNA from 1 species